UUAAGCGACCAAGCGUACACGGUGGAUGCCCUGGCAGUCAGAGGCGAUGAAGGACGUGCUAAUCUGCGAAAAGCGCCGGUAAGGUGAUAUGAACCGUUAUAACCGGCGAUGUCCGAAUGGGGAAACCCAGUGUGACUCGUCACACUAUCAUUAACUGAAUCCAUAGGUUAAUGAGGCGAACCGGGGGAACUGAAACAUCUAAGUACCCCGAGGAAAAGAAAUCAACCGAGAUUCCCCCAGUAGCGGCGAGCGAACGGGGAGGAGCCCAGAGCCUGAAUCAGUAUGUGUGUUAGUGGAAGCGUCUGGAAAGGCGCGCGAUACAGGGUGACAGCCCCGUACACAAAAGCGCAUAUGCUGUGAGCUCGAUGAGUAGGGCGGGACACGUGGUAUCCUGUCUGAAUAUGGGGGGACCAUCCUCCAAGGCUAAAUACUCCUGACUGACCGAUAGUGAACCAGUACCGUGAGGGAAAGGCGAAAAGAACCCCGGCGAGGGGAGUGAAACAGAACCUGAAACCGUGUACGUACAAGCAGUGGGAGCAUGAGUUUACUCAUGUGACUGCGUACCUUUUGUAUAAUGGGUCAGCGACUUAUAUUCUGUAGCAAGGUUAACCGAAUAGGGGAGCCGGAGGGAAACCGAGUCUUAACCGGGCGUUAAGUUGCAGGGUAUAGACCCGAAACCCGGUGAUCUAGCCAUGGGCAGGUUGAAGGUUGGGUAACACUAACUGGAGGACCGAACCGACUAAUGUUGAAAAAUUAGCGGAUGACCUGUGGCUGGGGGUGAAAGGCCAAUCAAACCGGGAGAUAGCUGGUUCUCCCCGAAAGCUAUUUAGGUAGCGCCUCGUGAAUUCAUCUCCGGGGGUAGAGCACUGUUUCGGCCAGGGGGCCAUCCCGGCUUACCAACCCGAUGCAAACUGCGAAUACCGGAGAAUGUUAUCACGGGAGACACACGGCGGGUGCUAACGUCCGUCGUGAAGAGGGAAACAACCCAGACCGCCAGCUAAGGUCCCAAAGUCAUGGUUAAGUGGGAAACGAUGUGGGAAGGCCCAGACAGCCAGGAUGUUGGCUUAGAAGCAGCCAUCAUUUAAAGAAAGCGUAAUAGCUCACUGGUCGAGUCGGCCUGCGCGGAAGAUGUAACGGGGCUAAACCAUGCACCGAAGCUGCGGCAGCGACACUGUGUGUUGUUGGGUAGGGGAGCGUUCUGUAAGCCUGCGAAGGUGGCCUGUGAGGGUUGCUGGAGGUAUCAGAAGUGCGAAUGCUGACAUAAGUAACGAUAAUGCGGGUGAAAAACCCGCACGCCGGAAGACCAAGGGUUCCUGUCCAACGUUAAUCGGGGCAGGGUGAGUCGACCCCUAAGGCGAGGCCGAAAGGCGUAGUCGAUGGGAAACAGGUUAAUAUUCCUGUACCUGGUGUUACUGCGAAGGGGGGACGGAGAAGGCUAUGUUGGCCGGGCGACGGUUGUCCCGGUUUAAGCGUGCAGGCUGGUUUUCCAGGCAAAUCCGGAAAAUCAAGGCUGAGGCGUGACGACGAGGCACUACGGUGCUGAAGCAACAAAUGCCCUGCUUCCAGGAAAAGCCUCUAAGCCUCAGGUAACAUCAGAUCGUACCCGAAACCGACACAGGUGGUCAGGUAGAGAAUACCAAGGCGCUUGAGAGAACCCGGGUGAAGGAACUAGGCAAAAUGGUGCCGUAACUUCGGGAGAAGGCACGCUGACACGUAGGUGAAGCGGUUUACCCGUGGAGCUGAAGUCAGUCGAAGAUACCAGCUGGCUGCAACUGUUUAUUAAAAACACAGCACUGUGCAAACACGAAAGUGGACGUAUACGGUGUGACGCCUGCCCGGUGCCGGAAGGUUAAUUGAUGGGGUCAGCGCAAGCGAAGCUCCUGAUCGAAGCCCCGGUAAACGGCGGCCGUAACUAUAACGGUCCUAAGGUAGCGAAAUUCCUUGUCGGGUAAGUUCCGACCUGCACGAAUGGCGUAAUGAUGGCCAGGCUGUCUCCACCCGGGACUCAGUGAAAUUGAACUCGCUGUGAAGAUGCAGUGUACCCGCGGCAAGACGGAAAGACCCCGUGAACCUUUACUAUAGCUUGACACUGAACACUGGUCCUUGAUGUGCAGGAUAGGUGGGAGGCUUUGAAGUGUGGACGCCAGUCUGCAUGGAGCCAUCCUUGAAAUACCACCCUUUAAUGGCUGGUGUUCUAACGUAGACCCGUGAACCGGGUUGCGGACAGUGUCUGGUGGGUAGUUUGACUGGGGCGGUCUCCUCCUAAAGCGUAACGGAGGAGCACGAAGGUUGGCUAAUCCUGGUCGGACAUCAGGAGGUUAGUGCAAUGGCAUAAGCCAGCUUGACUGCGAGCGUGACGGCGCGAGCAGGUGCGAAAGCAGGUCAUAGUGAUCCGGUGGUUCUGAAUGGAAGGGCCAUCGCUCAACGGAUAAAAGGUACUCCGGGGAUAACAGGCUGAUACCGCCCAAGAGUUCAUAUCGACGGCGGUGUUUGGCACCUCGAUGUCGGCUCAUCACAUCCUGGGGCUGAAGUAGGUCCCAAGGGUAUGGCUGUUCGCCAUUUAAAGUGGUACGCGAGCUGGGUUUAGAACGUCGUGAGACAGUUCGGUCCCUAUCUGCCGUGGGCGCUGGAGAACUGAGGGGGGCUGCUCCUAGUACGAGAGGACCGGAGUGGACGCAUCACUGGUGUUCGGGUUGUCAUGCCAAUGGCACUGCCCGGUAGCUAAAUGCGGAAGAGAUAAGUGCUGAAAGCAUCUAAGCACGAAACUUGCCCCGAGAUGAGUUCUCCCUGAGACUUUAGUCUCCUGAAGGAACGUUGAAGACGACGACGUUGAUAGGCCGGGUGUGUAAGCGCAGCGAUGCGUUGAGCUAACCGGUACUAAUGAACCGUGAGGCUUAACCUU
rnacentral:rRNA from 1 species